UACGUAGGGGGCUAGCGUUGUCCGGAAUCAUUGGGCGUAAAGAGCGUGUAGGCGGUCCGGUAAGUCCGCUGUGAAAGUCGGGGGCUCAACCCUCGAAUGCCGGUGGAUACUGUCGGGCUAGAGUGCGGAAGAGGCGAGUGGAAUUCCUGGUGUAGCGGUGAAAUGCGCAGAUAUCAGGAGGAACACCUGUUGCGAAGGCAGCUCGCUGGGACGUAACUGACGCUGAGACGCGAAAGCGUGGGGAGUAAACAGG
rnacentral:rRNA from 1 species